rnacentral:rRNA from 1 species
GCACAACGCGAAGAACCUUACCAGGCCUUGACAUCCAAUGAACUUUCCAGAGAUGGAUUGGUGCCUUCGGGAGCAUUGAGACAGGUGCUGCAUGGCUGUCGUCAGCUCGUGUCGUGAGGUGUUGGGUUAAGUCCCGUAACGAGCGCAACCCGUUGUCCUUAGUUACCAGCACGUAAUGGUGGGCACUCUAAGGAGACUGCCGGUGACAGACCGGAGGAAGGUGGGGAUGGACGUCAAGUCAUCAUGGCCCUUAGGCCUGGGCUACACACGUGCUACAAUGGUCGGUACAGAGGGUUGCCAAGCCGCGAGGUGGAGCUAAGUCUCACAAAACCGAUCGUAGUCCGGAUCGCAGUCUGCAACUCGACUGCGUGAAGUCGGAAUCGCUAGUAAUCGCGAAUCAGAAUGUCGCGGUGAAUACGUUCCCCGGGGUCUUGUACACACCGAGUCGUGGGAGGGCAAGGGGCACACAGGGGGGGGAU